rnacentral:rRNA from 1 species
AUGCCUCAAGCAGCCGCUACCGAUUGUGUGCUUGUAGUUGUUUCUUCAGUUCCAUUCCUCUGCUUGUUGAUGCCUCAAGCAGUUGGUGUAUAUAAAUUGAUCCUAUUGAUUACAAAGGAGCGAGGUGAUACUAUUUUUUCUGAUAAUAAACCUACUUUUACAGCAAAGCCACGCAACCACAGUCGUUUCUAUUCUUCCCCAUUCGCAAAUCCCCCCUUCUUCCCACUCCAGCAGCCCGGCCUUCCUGCCUCCGACCGCGCUUGGAUAGGAGCUCUAGCUAUGCCACGAGCAGGCCAUCCCAGCAGCUGCCGCCGCCCCUUUGUCCUUCUCUCUCUAGGCUUUUUCCUUCUCCUUCUUCUCUUUGUCACUCUUCUUUGUCUUCUACAGGGAAGGAAGUCGCCAUGGAACAACCCCGCCGCCUUGGAGCUCGCCCCGCCUCCGGCCCACCACCUCUCCGUCGGCCUCGUGCUCCUCCGCCUCGAUCCGCCCGCCCCGCCGCUGGAUCCACGUCGGAGCCACCGUAUCCGCCGCCCAGACCACCAACCAAGAGUUGCAUCUUGCGUGUCCUGCGGCCGGGAGGAGGACGACCGAGAGGAGUGCCCAUUCAUCCGCCGCCUUGGAGCUCGCCCUCCCUUCGGGCCGCCACCUCUCCGUCGGCCUCGAUCCGUCCGCCCUGCCGCCCAGACCACCAACCAAGCGGCGCCUCUUGCCUGUCCUGUGGUCGCAGGUCGAAUAAUAAAAACUGCAGGGUCCUUUAUGUUAAAAUGA